ACGGUGUAUGCACUACGCAGUACGUAAUAAUAUGUCGCACCAUGAUAAUAAUAUAACCAAAGAACAUAACAGUUAUAUACUUAUAUCGUGUGUCGCAAAAGGUGCAUAAUAUAUGUAGGUAUGGCCGUGUGGUCGUAUUGGACGAGCAUGAAUGCAUUAUAUUAUUUACAACAUGGCAAAACCAGUCAUUAUUUAUGUUUCAUGCGCAUAAUAUUCUUGGAAUGAUACAACAACACUGUCAGUAUGCCCGGCUUUAACCGCGUCAAGCCGCAAAGCGGUGACCGUGGUUGAAUAUGUGAUGACUUUACGAGUUCCGACUGUUCCGAGUUUACGACCAUGGUCAUAAUGUCUACGAAUUUUAAAUGCUCAUACAUUUUGAAAUUUCAAAUACUGCCUAUAUUAUAUUAUUAUUUUGUAUUUAUUAUACCUACGGCAUACCAAAGGUACAUACGCAGGGCGAAUUUAAUAUUUGUACUUAUUUAUGAUGCACCUGUGGCUGUGGCCAUAGCCCACAGGCUUAAUAUUAUAAAUUAUAAUGAGUGUAUUAGUUGUUGACGAAUUCAAUUUUGUUUUAUUUCUGUAGUUCCAAAACGAAUAACUGCUGAGCGUUGAAAUUAUCACCAAAUAUUCGCGAUAGCAAUUACUAGAAAUUGUAUAAUAGAAAUUGAUCUCACUCAGCAAUCACCUUUUAGCAGUCAACUUCAGAAAAUCCAGCUAUGAUCCAGUCAAGAAUUACAGUUCGUGUUAGACAAACAAAUUAACAACGAUUCAGUGAUUGACAUAAAUUUACCGACGAUGACAUCAUCAGUAACACUAUUUUCUUGUUCUCCGCUGGUUUGGAAACCAUUUGGUCUUUGCUAUCUUUUUGCCUGUACGAAUUGACGCUAAACAAAGAAAUUCAAGACAAAUUACGUGUGGAGAUAUGUUCGAUGAAAGCAAAACACGAUGGAGUGUUAAAUAAUGAUUAUUUGAUGGACAUACAUUACACCAACAUGCUAUUAGAAGAAAUUAAAAUUAUCGAGAAUAAUAUUAUUUUGUAUGAUCAUUCAACUCCAAGGGCUUCGGUUGUUAUAUCUUGCCUCGUUUAUACAAUAUGAAAGGACUAUUUAAACAUUUUAAAUAUUUCUUCUUCAGAGAAUGUCAUACUCGUGUCAAAUAAUUCCGUCUUACUAACACAUAAUAUACCAAUAUUUACUUUGGCAGUUUUAAUUUUAUGUUGUUAGCGAAGCCUUGAAUAUUGGAUUUUUACGAUGUACUAAUUCGUAAGUGAGUUAUGAGUACAUUCAGCAAAAUAUCGUAACAACCAACGAGGGUACACAGAUAAUAUUCUAAUAAUUUACUAUUUAUAAAAACUGUUAAUACGUCAAAUGAAAGCUAA